rnacentral:sRNA from 1 species
AAGGAUGAGGGCUACAAAGGGCUACGGCACACGAAACAGCAUUGGUUUUCUUCAGCUCUGUUCCGUGUGCUGCAUAGUUGACGCAUUUAUAAAUUGGUAUCGCAUGAAUCCCAUCGUAAUUAACAGGCUGCAGCGUAAGCUGGGCUACACUUUUC